UGCAAGUGGGAAUGAUGAGGAGAUGGAAAGUUAUUACAGACAUCUUGCCACUUCUCAGAAGCUGAGAUAUUUGAGAUGAUUCACUUCCUCCAUGAUCAAGCAGUUUUUCCAGGAAUUUAGUGGACCCAUUAAAUAUUGAAACCCUGUAUUAAUCUGCACACAUCUCAAAUUCUUCAUUAUGACCCUCAAAGAAAGAGCCUUCCUGAUGACAGACACAAAGUGGAGAAAAGUAUAGCCAAAAUAUGGAGAGACUCGUCUUUUUGAAGGCAUUGAUUGAGCUGCUAGAUCCAUCCACACUUGAAGGUAGAUGCAUCUCUGGACUUCCUUGACCUGUGACAUGAUUUGAAUAUGAUUUAUCUCUCAGCAGCUGAAAAAAGUAGUGAUUUGAUUUGCCUUGAGAAUGAUCCAUGUGCUGAGGAAAAGAAUGUGCAUGCCGUCCCUCUUAAAUGAAGUGUUCUGUAAGUAUCUAUUAGAUCCCUUUGGUCUAUAGUGCAGAUUAGCUCUGAUGUUUCUUUGUUUAUUUUCUGUCUAGAAGAUCUGUUCAGUGACAAAAACAAGGUGUGGAAGUCUCCAGCUAUUAUUGUACUGGGGCCUAUCUGUCUCUUUAGCUCUAAUAAUAUUUUUUCUAUAUAUCUGGGUGCUCCCAUGUUAGGCACAUAUAGAAUUGUUAUAUCUAUUUGAUGAAUUGACCCUUUUAUUAUUAUAUAGUGACUAUUUUGUCUGUUCUUAUAGGUUUUUUCCUUGAAAUCUACUUUUUCUGAUAUAAUAGGUAUAGUAACUCCUAUUCUUUUUUGCCUUCCAUUGGCAUGGGAUGUCUUUAUUUUUCACCUAUAAAGACACACAUAGAUAUUCCAUCCCUUUAUUUACAGUCUAUGUGUGUUUUUAUAGAUGAAAUGUGUUUUGUGUAGGAAACAGAUCAAGGAGUCCUUUUUUUAAUCCAUUCAGGCAGUUAUGUCUUUUGAUUGGAGAGUUUAGUCUAUUUAUACUCAAUAUUAUUGAUAAGCAAGAACUUACUCCAUUUUGUUAUUUGUUUUCUGAUUAUUUUGUGACCUUCUCUUCCUUCUUCCAGUCAUGUUUUUCUCUAAUGAAGAUGUUUUCUCCAGUGAUAGGAUUUUGUUUCUUGCUUUUUAUUUUUGUGUGUGUGUGUAUCCAUUGGUUUGAGGUUACCAUGAGGAUUGCAAAAUCUAUCUUACAACCUAUUAUUUUAACCUGAUAACAAUUUAACACUGUUUUCAUAAACAAGCAACAAGAAAACUAAUCAAAAUUAUAUGCCUUAACUUUGGCCCUCCUACUUUUUAAGUUUUUAUUCUU